AUGAAUGAAGGCUAGUCCUCGAGCUACGCCUCUUGCUAUUUUGAACCGAACUUCUAGGGGCAUAUGAAAUGAUGACGAACCAGAUUUUCUGUAACUGGAGCUUGCAAGGCUGCCAUUGGAGAUAUAGUCAUAAAUAACAAGCUUCUCAUUGUCUCCCCAAUAAAACCCACGAACCUUAACCAAAUUUGGGUGUCUGAACUUCGCAGUGAACCGCACUUGGUUCUCAAAAUCUCUGAAACUCUCCACACCACUUUCUCCUAUCCUCCUCACUGCAAACGCAGUACCAUCUGCGAGCACAGCCUUGUACACUAUGCUUGCUUUGCUACUUCCCA
rnacentral:misc_RNA from 1 species